GAUGAACGCUGGCGGCGUGCUUAACACAUGCAAGUCGAACGAAGCAUUUAAGACAGAUUACUUCGGUUUGAAGUCUUUUAUGACUGAGUGGCGGACGGGUGAGUAACGCGUGGGUAACCUGCCUCAUACAGGGGGAUAGCAGCUGGAAACGGCUGGUAAUACCGCAUAAGCGCACAGUACCACAUGGUACAGUGUGAAAAACUCCGGUGGUAUGAGAUGGACCCGCGUCUGAUUAGCUUGGUGGCGGGGUAACGGCCCCCCAAGGCGACGAUCAGUAGCCGACCUGUGAGGGUGACCGGCCACACUGGGACUGAGACACGGCCCAGACUCCUACGGGAGGCAGCAGUGGGGAAUAUUGCACAAUGGAGGAAACUCUGAUGCAGCGACGCCGCGUGAGUGAAGAAGUAGUUCGCUAUGUAAAGCUCUAUCAGCAGGGAAGAUAGUGACGGUACCUGACGAAGAAGCUCCGGCUAAAUACGUG
rnacentral:rRNA from 1 species